UGCGCAGGCGGAAUGAUAAGUCAGUGGUGAAAUCCUACAGCUUAACUGUAGAACUGCCAUUGAUACUGUUGUUCUUGAGUACAUUUGUAGUGGGCGGAAUGUGUCAUGUAGCGGUGAAAUGCUUAGAGAUGACACAGAACACCGAUCGCGAAGGCAGCUCACUAAACUGUAACUGACGCUGAGGCACGAAAGCGUGGGGAUCAAACAGGAUUAGAUACCCUGGUAGUCC
rnacentral:rRNA from 1 species